GAUGAACGCUAGCUACAGGCUUAACACAUGCAAGUCGAGGGACCGACGCACGAGUAAUUAGCACGUAUCCAACCUUCCCUUUACUCGUAGAUAGCCUUUCGAGAGACUAAUUACUACCCUAUAUAAAGGAUGGGUAUGCGUUCCAUUGGGUUGUUGUUGAGGUAACGGCUCACCAAGCCUUCGAUGGUUAGGGGUUCUGAGAGGAAGGUCCCCCACAUUGGAAGUGAGACAAGGUCCAAACUCCUACGGGAGGCAGCAGCGAGGAAUAUUGGUCAAUGGGCGCUAGCCGGAAACAGCCAAGUAGCGGGAAGGAUGAAGGAUUAUGGGUCGUAAACUUCUUUUAUAUAAGAAUAUGUAUUAUAUGAAUAAGGAUCGGCUAACUCCGUGCCAGCAGCCGCGGUAAUAC
rnacentral:rRNA from 1 species